UUUAUUGGAGAGUUUGAUCCUGGCUCAGGAUGAACGCUGGCGGCGUGCCUAAUACAUGCAAGUCGAGCGAAUGGAUUAAGAGCUUGCUCUUAUGAAGUUAGCGGCGGACGGGUGAGUAACACGUGGGKAACCUGCCCAUAAGACUGGGAUAACUCCGGGAAACCGGGGCUAAUACCGGAUAACAUUUUGAACUGCAUGGUUCGAAAUUGAAAGGCGGCUUCGGCUGUCACUUAUGGAUGGACCCGCGUCGCAUUAGCUAGUUGGUGAGGUAACGGCU
rnacentral:rRNA from 1 species